AAAUUAUUCUCCCCUUUUACAUAAAUAAGUUAACAUCAUUGUGGUCAAGUUGCCAACGUGAUUGACGAUGCAGGUAUAAGCUCAAAACCAUUAUAGUUCGUAUUGAUUCAGCCAAGCGAACUGGCAUACUGGCUGUUCAUAUUACCGCGUUGCCUCAUAAAAUGAAUCUGCAAGUAUUUCGAAAUAUUGCAGGGGGAUGAGAAUGAUGGUGCUAUAAAUGGUGUGAGUGGUCAAAGUAAUACCACAAAUACUGUAAAUGUUGGCAGCAACGAAUUAUCUCAGCAAAAAGAGUCUUUCAGUACUGAAAACCAGCAAGAAAAUGGUGGUCAUUCCACAGCAUUAGAGCACAAUCCUCUGAUUGAAGCUAGUGCUAAUCGAAGCUUGGAAGAUGUUAGCGUUGGUAUACCUGAAACAGCAAAGGGGAAUGCCGAGGGUGCAUUGAAUUGUCUGGAACCAUUGCAAGAGGAUAGGAUUGUUGCAGAUGUUUCUAAAGAGAUAGCAAUCGAUGGCCAUAUUAUUCGUGAACUUUGAGAAUGCGAGGUGAAAUGGCUUACGCGUUUGAUAGAGAUGAUUGUUAGUUAGAUGAAUGAGGAACAACUUUAACUUUAGGUUAGCGAUCUAGGUAAACCAGUUUGUACUGUUAAUUAGAUGAUACCUUUUGAUUUCUCUUUAUUGCGGAACCUUUCUUUUUUUUUUGGAGGCCCCCGCUGCCACAAAUGAUGACGUAGGCUCGGCCACUCUUUAUUGUGGAACUGAAAUUAAGAGUAUGUCCUCAUGCUUUACUACUGAGGAACUCGUCUCCCAUGUUCAAUAAUGGUUCGCUUCUUGAGGGAGUAGAAACCAUCUCUCUUUCUUAUUGAUAA